AUUGAACGCUGGCGGCGUGCCUAAUACAUGCAAGUAGGACGCAGUUGCGAACGGGUGAGUAACGCGUAGGUAACUGCCUAUUAGAGGGGGAUAACUAUUGGAAACGCUAGCUAAUACCGCAUACUAGUAGAUGGACCUGUGUUUUAUUAGCUAGUAGGUAGGGUAAUGGCCUACCUAGGCAACGAUACAUAGCCGACCUGAGAGGGUGAUCGGCCACACUGGGACUGAGACACGGCCCAGACUCCUACGGGAGGCAGCAGUAGGGAAUCUUCGGCAAUGGGGGGAACCCUGACCGAGCAACGCCGCGUGAGUGAUGAAGGUCUUCGGAUCGUAAAACUCUGUUAUUAGGGAAGCGGUACCUAAUCAGAAAGCCACGGCUAACUACGUGCCAGCAGCCGCGGUAAUUC
rnacentral:rRNA from 1 species